rnacentral:rRNA from 1 species
UACGUAGGGAGCAAGCGUUGUCCGGAUUCACUGGGUGUAAAGGGUGCGCAGGCGGGAGAGUAAGUCAGAGGUGAAAUCUCACAGCUUAACUGUGAAACUGCCUUUGAUACUGCUUUUCUUGAGUUCGGGAGAGGUUGAUGGAAUUCCAGGUGUAGCGGUGAAAUGCGUAGAUAUCUGGAAGAACACCAGUGGCGAAGGCGGUCAACUGGCCCGUAACUGACGCUCAGGCACGAAAGCGUGGGGAGCAAACAGG